rnacentral:tRNA from 1 species
AAAAGUGUAAAAGAAUUGGUUUAUAAGGAGGUUUAGCCUUCAAAUUCUUGGUUCAAAUCCAAGCACUUUUA